rnacentral:rRNA from 1 species
AGAGUUGCGUAGGUGGCUUGUAAAGUGAAUAGUGAAAUCUGGGGGCUCAACCUCACAGGCUAUUAUUCAAACUCACAAGCUCGAGAAUGAUAGAGGUAACUGGAAUUUCUGAAGUAGGGGUAAUAUCCGUAGAUAUCAGAAGGAACACCAAUGGCGUAGGCAGGUUACUGGAUCAUUUCUGACACUGAGGCACGAAAGCGUGGGGAGCGAACCGGAUUAGAUACCCCUGU